rnacentral:rRNA from 1 species
UAGGGAAUCUUCCACAAUGGGCGCAAGCCUGAUGGAGCAACACCGCGUGAGUGAAGAAGGGUUUCGGCUCGUAAAGCUCUGUUGUUAAAGAAGAACACGUAUGAGAGUAACUGUUCAUACGUUGACGGUAUUUAACCAGAAAGGGACGGCUAACUACGUACCAG